GUCCCGCCAUGAUGGUCCCACCCCGCUCCCCUCCCGUCACCGCCAUCCCGAUGUCGCAGUUCCCGUAAUUCCCGCACCAGUCCCGGCCCCUCGGCGUGACGGGAAAAGGGAUCCGCUCCUUCUCCCGCCCCGCGGUGGGGAGGAGGGCGGCAGGAACAGGAAAAGGCGUCAGCGCGAACCCGGCGUCCUUCCCAUCUCUAUCCGUGUGGGAGCAGUCAAGGGCAGCAGGACUGUAGGAAAUGGGAAUCAAGGACAGCACCGGCUGGGAGUGUUCUUUCCAGGAGCGCUGCACUCCCUCAGGUCAUUUUUAUACAGGACAAACACCACUCCAGGCAGAAGGAUUACUGCUAUCACCAAGCCUAAAUGCGGAAGUAAUUUCCCAGUAAUUUCCUGCUCACAGGAGGAAGGUGUUGACACCACAUCGAUUGCCUGUGAAGAGAAAGGUCUGUGCAAACACAUUUCCCCAGUCUGUGCAAACACAUUUCCCCCAUCUUUAAACUCACCAAUGGGCACAAACGGCGUCUCCUUAAACUUCCUUAUCAGCUUCGAGGUCUGGCUGCUGUCAGUCUCAUACUCAGGAUAAACAGAUUCCUGCCUGGGUGACAUGGUGGCUGUGAAGACAAAGAGCCUCCCUUCAGGUUUUAGAAGCCCCAAAUUAAGAGAAUCUUUGAGGAAAGAAAAUCCGUUGCGUAUUCCCCCAAUCACAACUAUCCAGGUAGUGAGAUACAAGCACAGGAGCUAUGGACAGGUGAUUUAAUUCAAGUGAAGGACUGUUACUUAACAGGAGAGGCAAGAAUAGGACAGAACAAAAAAAAAAAUAGGGAAGCAACAGAUUUCUGCCACUCGUUUUCACACCUUUACAGAUUCCUGUGGCCCCCCCCAUGCUCACAGGCAGCGAGAAGCCACAGAAAGUUUGGGCCACUGCCCGCCUUUCCUUUUAGGAAUUCCACUUGGCUUUCGCAGGCUGUUCCUUUAUGGCAGCUCUGACCUCAGCAAAGUUCACAUCUCCCCUCUCACUCCCUGCCAAGAACGGCAACCACAGGGAAGCGAGAGCCGCUGCACAAGGUCAGCCCUGCCCAGCAACUCCUCAGCUGCCUAUUCCACCUCAGCGUAACUCCAGAUUCCUGGAAAACACAGGGAUGUACGACAGCCACCCCUGAGGAGCUGGAGCAAGUCUUGGAGCCCUCCCUAGGUGCAGACUCACGUAGGGACACAUCAGGAGGAGAAAUCAUGCACAGGUGAUUUCUCACCUGCCUCCCAGGAAAAUAAAAAGCAGCGACAGCCCUGAGAAAGGCUCCACUCACAGAACCAUCAUCACCAAACCAGUGAGACCAUCCUCCAAAAAUUGCCAACUUUUUGUGCUGGGAAUUACAUGGAUUACACCCAGACCUGUUCCCUCCUCAGUGGUCAGCAUAAACACCAUUCAAUGAACGAUGAUUUCUGCCCAGCGACACCACAGAGGCCUCUGCUAGAAAAGUCUCCACUGUUACUGUUCCAGUUUUGACCACCAACACACUCCACAGCAAAACACAGCUCAGGGGAACAUGGAAGGACUCCAAGCUCUCCGAAUAAACUACCAGGAAUUUCAUUUAAGCAGGGGCCAGUAACUAUCGGCAAAAGAGACAUUUCAAAGGUGGCUGCACUCCCUGGUUAUGCAGCAUUUCCUGCACACCCAUGUGAGCAGACUGACUGGUUCUCAAACUAAAGGCUCAGACCAUUUCCUCUGCCA